GUUUUAAUAAUUUAAUAUAAAAUAAUGGUCUUGUAAACCGUAAAUAAGACACGCUCUUUUAAAACU
rnacentral:tRNA from 1 species